AGUUUGCAAGUGCCGGCAAAGAGCUUUAGAUGGUUUUCCAAGCCCAUCUCACCACUUGCUGGCUGUGUGACCUUAGGCACUUUCCAGAACCACUCUAAAUCUGUGUCCUCCUCUGUCAGCUGGGGACUGCAGUAAUUCCCACCUCUUAGGGUCACUAUUAAGUAAAAAGUAUAUGGCAAAAGGAAAAGUGCCUGGCACAUAAAUCCUAGCUACAAUUAUUUUUAUUAUCUCUCUGCCCAGUUUAGUGUCAUCCUUGAUCACCCUGCCUAUGACCAAGUUGUGAACAAAACCCUUGAAGGGCACAGCAUUCGAGACGGCAUUGCGCUAGAGACGACACCACAUGACUGUAGUCUGACCAGGAACACGCUUCCCCAUCCCAGCCUCAGAGCGUUUCCAGGAUCUUGCCUUUGAUUGCCAGCGUUGCCCUGUUCUGCCAGCCUAGACAAGAAGAGGAAGUGAAAGCAGCCUGGCUCCAUUCUUGGUGAUCUUUCUUUUCCUUUGGAGGCUCACAGAUCAUCUGUUGGCUGACCUCACCCUGGGCUGAUGUCAAAUUCACUUUUUCCCCUGGGCUGCGCUGGGUCCCAUUGUCUGGCAACAGAAUACCUGUGUGCCCUCGCCUGAUCCCCUGGGCCACCCCGCCAAAGCAGGGUCUCUGGCUCUGCCAAAGCAGGAAGGAUGGGCUCUGGGUGUUGCCGGACUGCUCUGGUGGGGAGAAGCUAAGGGGUGCAGUGAUGGAGGGAGAGAAGAGAGAUCGCCCUGCAGGCCAGAAGGUUGUGCUCAGGAUGGAGUCAGCAGCCAUUUGUGAUCUCCCAGAACACUGGCUGGAAAGUGCCUGAGAUUCUCAGUACUUGGCAUCUGUUCUUUAAAGACAGUUGCCCUGCCUCCUUGGGUAGAAGGCAAGUGCUCCUCGAAGGGGACACAGUUCUCAGCUGUCCUCUGCGUGCAGUUUCCUUGGUGAGAAGGAGACUCUAGCUCUUGCAGGCAUUGAGAAGAGGCCAGAGGGGCUGGACCAGGAGGCUGGGGAGGUCUGCCGAAGGGCUGAGCGUCACAGAAACCCUCUGAUCUCCAGGAACGAAAGGCGAAAUACGGAGGGGGUGAUGUUUCCAAAUGGAGCAGAGGAACUGAAACCCAAGUUAGGUACGAUCGAUAGGCUCAAAGGAGAUCAACCAAAAGAAAGCUGGGAUUUGCUCCUCACUCCAUCCAACUUUAUUAACAAUCAUAAUGACCUGCCAUUUAUUGAGUGCUUGCAAUGCAUCAGGUAAAUAGGUACACUGUGCUAUGUGCUGAACAUAUUUCAUCUCAUUUAAUUCUCAGCAACAACCUUAUAAGAGAGAUAUCACUAUGCCCAUUUUAUAGAGAACAAAUGGCAAUUCAGAGAGGUUGAGUAACUCUCCCAGGAUCACACAGCCAGGACUUGGCAAGCUGGGAUUUGGACACAGGUUUGUGGACUCAGAAGCUCAUGCUCUCAACCAUUGAGUUGAGAUGGAUAUGGCCACUAAGCAGGUCCAAAGAGGAACUCAUCAUCUUUGCCCAAAACUUGUUCCUCUUCCUCCUCCAUUCCCCACUGCAGCAAUGGCACUACCCUCCCCCAUCCAGUUGCUCAAGCCAGAUCCUGAGUUUUGACCCCAAAAUCACUCACUAGUUUUGUUGAUUCUGUCUCGUAAAUUUGUAACAUUUUCCUGUUCUCUCUGUCCUCAUUGCUGGGGCCUUAGUCCCGGCCGUGGCCAUCUCUCGCCUGAGUAGAUGCUCUCUCAAUCGUCUCUCUCCUUCCCAGCACUUGUGUGGCUGAUUUAUAAUCGUCUCCCCCAUCACAGACUCCGUGACAAUGGGGCUCCACCAGUGUAAUCCCAGUGCUUGCUUCACAGGAGGCACUCAAUCCAUAUUUGAGCGACUGAAGAUAGAUGGGAAUCGUUAUUUCUGUUUCACCAAUGUUAUGGCUGAACUGUGUUCCCUCAAAACUCAGAUGUUGCAGUCCUAACCCCCAGUCCCUCAGAAUGUGACUGGAGAUAGGGCCUUUAGAGGUCAUUAAGUUAAAGUCGGGGCGUUAGGAUAGGCCCUAAUCCAGUACAACUGGUGUCCUAUGAGAAGAGGAGAUUAGGACUCAGAAAACACGGGCAGAGGGAUGCCCAUGUGAGGAAGGUGGCCACCUGCACACCAGAGAGAGACCACGGACGAAACCAAAGCUGCUGACACGAUGACCUCGGAUUUACAGCCUCCAGACUGUGAGAAAACGCAUUUCUGUGGUUUAAGCCGCCCGGUCUG
rnacentral:lncRNA from 1 species